rnacentral:tRNA from 1 species
UGCAGGGUAGAGCAGUUCGGUAGCUCGCGUGGCUCAUAACCACGAGGUCGCCCGUUCGAAUCGGGCCUCUGCAACCA